GCUAAUACUUUAUCACUUGAGAAAUCACUCUUAUUCCCUGGCAUCAUUAUUUUAGUAAUAAUGAUAACUAUUACAGUCUUCGGACCAGGGAUUGGAUUAUUUGUUCGGUACAAGAAACAGAUGCACAGGAAAACAAAAUGAUAACCUGAUUAUACGAAUUGUUAAAAGAAUUGUUGUUGGAAAUAAAGUUACAGCCAUGUUGUCCGCAGAAAAUACAUCAGCAUCCUUAGACAAUUGGAGAAAUGUUUCAGACAACUAUGGCGAUAUUAUGAACACCCAUACACUACAUUGGUUGCUGAUGAACGAGCUAUAGACGAUCAUACCUAUUUCACUAUCAAAGGGAACUCAAACUAUGAAAAUUCACAUCAUGUUGAAAAUGCUGCAUGUGGACACUUAAUUGGCUGAAUUGUCACAAAAUUAACAAAACAUAAACUUUUCUUGAUGCAAACAACGGUCAGGAAAAACUUAAUUUGAAAUGUGGUAUGAAUGAUUUGUACGAAACAGACAUUUAAUUUCACCAAUCAUUGAAAUAUCAACAAAA